GAUGAACGCUAGCGGCAGGCUUAACACAUGCAAGUCGAGGGGUAUAGUUCUUCGGAAUUAGAGACCGGCGCACGGGUGCGUAACGCGUAUGCAAUCUACCUUUCACAGAGGGAUAGCCCCAGAGAAAUUUGGAUUAAUACCUCAUAGUAUAGCAGUUUCGCAUGAAACCACUAUUAAAGUCACAACGGUGAAAGAUGAGCAUGCGUCCCAUUAGCUAGUUGGUAAGGUAACGGCUUACCAAGGCAACGAUGGGUAGGGGUCCUGAGAGGGAGAUCCCCCACACUGGUACUGAGACACGGACCAGACUCCUACGGGAGGCAGCAGUGGGAAUUUUCCGCAAUCGGGGCGAAAGCCUGACGGAGCAAUACGCGUGA
rnacentral:rRNA from 1 species